rnacentral:misc_RNA from 1 species
AAGUCGUAACAAGGUUUCCGUAGGUGAACCUGCGGAAGGAUCAUCAAUGAAAUUUUGAUCGUUUUACCAAAAACAACAACAAAAUUCCUGGCAAAAAGUCAACUUGCCAGGUCGAUUCUGAUUGUUUGCCCGGAGAUUUGGCCCAACCAAAUAAAAUAGUUUCUGGGUUUUGGCUGAACAUAUCAUUGUCGUGGGCCAAAAGCUUUUUUCGCGCGUGGGGGGGACUUUUUUGUCUCCUUUGCUGGAAAAAAAAAAAACAAGAGUUAAAAAUCCAGGCCAAAGAGAUUUUUACUCGAAAAACAACUCUGACCAAAGUGGGCGGCACUUUGGCUAGAAAAUAUACUCUCAACCGACCAACAACAAGAACAACUUUCGGCAACGGAUCUCUCGGCUCACC